GACGAACGCUGGCGGCGUGCCUAAUACAUGCAAGUAGAACGCUGAAGCUUGGUGCUUGCACCGAGCGGAUGAGUUGCGAACGGGUGAGUAACGCGUAGGUAACCUGCCUGGUAGCGGGGGAUAACUAUUGGAAACGAUAGCUAAUACCGCAUAAGAGUAGAUGUUGCAUGACAUUUGCUUAAAAGGUGCAAUUGCAUCACUACCAGAUGGACCUGCGUUGUAUUAGCUAGUUGGUGAGGUAACGGCUCACCAAGGCAACGAUACAUAGCCGACCUGAGAGGGUGAUCGGCCACACUGGGACUGAGACACGGCCCAGACUCCUACGGGAGGCAGCAGUAGGGAAUCUUCGGCAAUGGACGGAAGUCUGACCGAGCAACGCCGCGUGAGUGAAGAAGGUUUUCGGAUCGUAAAGCUCUGUUGUAAGAGAAGAACGAGUGUGAGAGUGGAAAGUUCACACUGUGACGGUAUCUUACCAGAAAAGGACGGCUACUACGUG
rnacentral:rRNA from 1 species